AGCUGUUACCCACAUGAAAGAGCUCUGCAGUGCAAUCCAGGAAAGAGCACUGCUCAGGGAAACAGAAUGUGGUUGCUUUUCACAAAUCCUGAACCGGGAUACCUUCGCAGCCAGCCGAACCUCUAGCUCUACUGCUGGUGCUGCCAGGCCAUGGACAAAAAAGCUCCCUCGCAAAGCCGUGCUGUCCGGCACGUGCAAUGCCUGCAGCACUCUGAGGGCAGAUCUCCUGCACAGCCUGCUCCUUGUCUCUGCAGAGACAUGGUCUGAAGACGAGCUGCACCCAAACAGUGCUGCCCAGCACUUCCCAUGAGGAAAAGAGCACAGUUAAUGCUCUGUCCAGCUGUCAUUUGUCAUCAUUUGGCUCCAGUUAAACAGAACCACUCUGCAUAAACAAAAGGCUUGAAUUUAAUUUCUUCAUUGCAAGAGUGGCAUUGAAGUACAAUGGUGGGGAAGUGGGCUCUCCUGUAUGCUGUACUAUUUCAACAGUCCCAUUUACAAACACUGGUAAAAUGUCAAGAUAAAAACCAUGCAGUAAGCAUAUGGAGCUAGGAUUUGAUAACUCACUUUAAAAGCUGCAGAAAGAGCUGUGUUACUCAGGUCUUGUUCUUUCAUGUAAGACAAUGAAAUCACCACCCUCAGAAUCUAUGCCAUUUUAAGAGAAGCUGUUUUUUCCCCCCAGUUUGUACUACCUGAUCGCCUAUACAGGAGCAGCACUACCAGUGGCAGAUAUUCUUCAGGCCAUGAAGACUUUUUUUUUUUUUUUUUUUUUUUUUUUU